rnacentral:rRNA from 1 species
AGUUAACGCUGGCGGUAGGCCUAACACAUGCAAGUCGAACGGCAGCACAGUAAGAGCUUGCUCUUACGGGUGGCGAGUGGCGGACGGGUGAGGAAUACAUCGGAAUCUACUUUUUCGUGGGGGAUAACGUAGGGAAACUUACGCUAAUACCGCAUACGACCUACGGGUGAAAGCAGGGGAUCUUCGGACCUUGCGCGAUUGAAUGAGCCGAUGUCGGAUUAGCUAGUUGGCGGGGUAAAGGCCCACCAAGGCGACGAUCCGUAGCUGGUCUGAGAGGAUGAUCAGCCACACUGGAACUGAGACACGGUCCCGACUCCUACGGGAGGCCGCAGUGGGGAAUAUUGGACGAUGGGCGCAAGCCUGAUCCAGCCAUACCGCGUGGGUGAAGAAGGCCUUCGGGUUGUAAAGCCCUUUUGUUGGGAAAGAAAAGCAGCAGGUUAAUACCCCGCUGUUCUGACGGUACCCAAAGAAUAAGCACCGGCUAACUUCGUG